GCCAGUGUGGUUUAGUGGAUUGAGUGUUGGACUGCGAUUCUGGGAAGCAGGGUUUAAAUCCCAGCUCAGUCA